rnacentral:rRNA from 1 species
UACGUAGGGUGCAAGCGUUGUCCGGAAUUAUUGGGCGUAAAGAGCUCGUAGGUGGCCUGUCGCGUCGGCCGUGAAAACCUGGGGCUCAACUCUGGGCGUGCGGUCGAUACGGGCAUCACUUGAGUUCGGCAGGGGAGACUGGAAUUCCUGGUGUAGCGGUGAAAUGCGCAGAUAUCAGGAGGAACACCGAUGGCGAAGGCAGGUCUCUGGGCCACUACUGACGCUGAGAAGCGAAAGCAUGGGGAGCGAACAGG